rnacentral:rRNA from 1 species
GACGGGGAGCACUACAACGGGUGGAGCCUGCGGUUUAAUUGGAUUCAACGACCGGAAUCUCACCGGGGCGACAGCAAUAUGAAGGUCAGGCUGAAGACCUUACCCGAUUAGCUGAGAGGUGGUGCAUGGCCGUCGUCAGUUCGUACUGUGAAGCAUCCUGUUAAGUCAGGCAACGAGCGAGACCCACGUCCACAGUUGCCAGCAUACCCUCCGGGGUGAUGGGUACACUGUGGAGACCGCCGCUGCUAAAGCGGAGGAAGGAGUGGGCAACGGUAGGUCAGUAUGCCCCGAAUCUCCCGGGCUACACGCGGGCUACAAUGGUUGGUACAAUGGGCAUCUACCCCGAAAGGGGAAGGAAAUCUCUUAAAGCCAAUCGUAGUUCGGAUUGAGGGCUGCAACUCGCCCUCAUGAAGCUGGAAUCCGUAGUAAUCGCGUUUCAACAGAACGCGGUGAAUACGUCCCUGCUCCUU